AUGCACUUUUCUAUUUGGCGCUUGUAGACGUUAUGGGAAAGUUGUCUCUCUCCCUCAUCUCGCUCCCUCUCCCCAUCCCUCCCCCUCCUCCUCCUCUUCGUCUAUCAUGUGCUUGGGAUAUGCUCAUGCUUUGCACAGAGCAGCCGAAGCACGUCUAAUGCAGGCUACUGAGUGUUAGCGGCAAUUUUAAAGUGAUGCCCCCCCUCCCCUCCUCCCCCCACCAAAUAAUACGGCUGGGAUACUUGAGGGGACAAUAUACCACAUCACGGUACACACGGAACCAACUGAACACCGGUGUACUUCUCCUGCAUGGGACGCUUUCUGGACGAUUGCAGUGAAUUGACUCACCUAGGAAUGAUGGAGAAAGGGAGCUGUGGAGAACUACGGGCAGCAGGAAGUAGAGGACCCCCAUGAGGUUGGAUGGUGACCUCGUAGAUCAUGACCCAGAAACAAAUGGCAUAGUCACUGAAGUCUCCAGACUAAGGACGUCAAGGAUAUUCAGCUGAUCUCAGAGAGUUCUUCUGAUCAACAAGAGAGGAGCUUGGAUAUCGCAAGACAGAAGCUUCUAGACAUCCAAUCACAAGUCUCACAAUCUAUAGGAGCUUCAUAUUACUCUCUACGACUCUUGAACCUGCAUCAUGUUCUUCGUUGUGUGUCAAAUGGUAAUAUAAGAUUGACCUAACUGAAAAGUCUUGUGACCUUGCACUAACAUAUAUUUAAUUUGUAUAUGGGAGAAUACUUAUGAAAAGAAGAAAUUAUGAAAAUAUUCUCCACUCUGAAAAUUGCAUUUAUUUCAAGUAUCUGCUUGAGUCUAACAAGUAUAUUUUUUGACAGCUAAA